GACUCCUCCACUAACUACAUCAGACAGCUGGAGACCAAAAUGAGGAUAUUGGAAGACGACAACAACAAGCUUUUGACGCAGCAGCAGUGUAACCCAGGGGACCUGCGUGUCCUGAGGAAGGGGAUGACCCUGUACCAUUCUGAGUCUCAGCUGUCAUCCCUGCCACAACGCCAGGACGCACUGCACAACGGCACGGUUGGUCGUCUCCCCACCAGCUAGUCAACCCCGGUAACAGGCUACCUGUCCCGUGUUCAGAAACCAGAGGCUGUGGUCCACGCCAUGAAGGUGUUGGAGGUGCACGAGAACCUGGAUAAGAAGCAGGUCCCAGAGGACUACGAGGAGGAUCUGAGUGAGAAGGAAAAAGCCAUCGUGAGAGAGAUGUGUAACGUGGUGUGGAGAAAGCUGGGCGACGUGGCAGGAUCGAAGCCGUCUAUCAGACAGCAUCUCUCUGGUAACCAGUUCAAAGACCCCAUGUAGUCCAUAGCAACCAGAGAGGGAGAGAGAGAGAGAGACCUUCCUACAUGCUCUCCAGUCCUACUACCUACACUACCCAUAACACCAUUCUCCCACUGACUAUAGGUCCCAUCACCCACCAUUCUCCUGGGAUAUGUGACUGGAUAUUAUACGACCAGGGAAACCACAGAAUGGACCUCUCCAUCUCUCCCUCACCACUAGUCAACUCCCCAUUUCGUUUGAACUUCCAGUGUUGUUGAUAACUGGCAGCUAGUUUCACUGAUUUGCCACUUUCCUUGUAUUACAGAUUUUAGGUUUAGAGUUAGACAGGCUUACACUUUACACAGUGCUGAUGACUAUUACAGACCAAACUCUCAUGUUGUUUUGUUUUAUGCUAAAAAGAAAGAAACUCAGAUGAGAGCUAUAGGAUCUCUAGGAUGUUACAGUGACGCUGUGAUAAUGUCAGAUAUGGUUACAUUUUGGGUUACAAGUGUCUCGUAUGGACAAAUCUAGGAUCAGCUUCAUCCACCUUCAAUCCUGAUCUUGAGCCUUUAGAGGUAAUGUACAGAACUGACCAUAGAGCAGAGUCCAGGAGCAAUGUCACCCAACUCCUUCAUAGUACUUCCCAAUAAAAAAAAACAGCUAGCUCCUCUGUUAGUUGUGCUUUGCCUUUAUCUGGUUGAUUAGCAUAAUUAGCAUUAGCUAAUGCUAGCCUUAGUGUAAUUAGCCUUAGCUAAUGCUAGCUUUAGCAGAAUUAGCAUUAGCUAAUGCUUGCCUUAGCAGAAUUAGCAUUAGCAUCCAAAGUGUUAAUACGUGAUACCCAUUGUGAUAUGAUACGUAGCACCCUAUGCUCAUAAGAGAAGUCUAUUAUUAAUACAGUACUAUUAUAGAGAUCACUUUUAAAACUAGUGUAAAAUAUGUAAACAAAAAAAAACAUAGCACUGCAUUGUUGUUGUUAUCGUUUAUUUUGAGCUUUUUGUUUUUUUAGUAUUAUUCUAGCGUGGCCAUGUGUUAUAUACUGACUGUUUUGUGGGUUUUAUGUUUUACAAAAGCACACAACUGAACAGGGUUCCUUCUAAGGUAACCACUCAUCUUUUUACUGUAGUUCGUUGAAACAAAUUAUUACUUCAUCUCCUCUGUAAACGUAUCAAGGCCAUUUUAAAUCUAAACCGUCUCAAGCCAAGAGUCAAUGUUUUUUUUAUUUUAUUUUUACUAAAAUGUACUAGGUUGUGUCUGCUCUAAGACAAUCAUGUUUCUCAGGUUGGGAAAUAACGAGAGCUUUCCCCCGACCCUGUGGCUCCUCUGUGGAUAUAGUGGGGAUUCUUUGUUGAUGUUUGGUCAGGCUGCCUGUGUGUACUGUAGUUCUCUGUAACAGACUGAUGACACCUGGUUACUACAGGAUUGGAGACUGCUGAACACAUUUUAUACAUUCAUUUUAUAUGAAAUAACAAGUUUCAUAAAUCUCAAUGACAGAAUGUUUCAGAAAUGUUCUCUGAAACUUGAAGGAUUUUAUGCCACUGUCAUAAAGGUCAGAUCAGACUAAUUUGGCUAUUUUUGGUCAUCAGUAACUAUUGCAUUAAUCAAACCACUGUACAACACAGUAUUUUAAUUGAAAGCUAAGAAAGUUGUCAAAUAAAUGGAAUGCUUUUCAUUUCAAUUAGCAUAAUAUGACUGUGUUUUUAGCCAUGGUGGAUACAGCGGAUGAGUUUCAGCAGUGGACUGUGCAUGUUUUGUAGAAAAUGAUUUCUGUUGGAAUGUGAGAAAGAGCAAGUCUUCCCUUAGAUGUUUUUGGAUACAGCUGCGUUUUACCGACUUAUAAUGAUGUCAGAUGAAAGAAUAAGGACUGUUAUGAUCAAACUGUUCAAGGCUAUUUAUUGCCAGGUGUUUCGAUAAAAAAAAUGGGGAGAGCUAUCCAAUAAUAGGGCUGUCAUGGCCAGUUUAAGAUUUUGACCUAUCAGGAGAUUUUGAUUGGUAUCCAGGUCUUUUGAUUGGGCAAUUGGUAAUGAUUGACAGCUCAAGCUCUCCUGGCUCUAGUAUUAGUUUUUCCAAAUUAGAACAUUGAGGCUUCUGACCGUACAUUCUUACGAUUCGUCCUCCUCGGGUUCUCUCUCAUAGGAUCUACUACAACAACAAAAAAAGAAAAUGAAAGUAUGGAUUUUCAAAAAGGUGUCCUUUUUUUCUAGGAACAACUGAUUUGAAGCUAUGAUGAUAUAAUGAUAUGUUAUAAUGAUAUACUGCUUUUCAGUCUGGCAUUUUGAUUUGAGAUGUGACACAUUUUUCUCUGCAUGGAAUUUUGAGUUGGAUCCUGUGUUUUGAACUUUGUUGUAUUUUUCUAAUUCUGUAUAUACGUGCUAAACUAGAAGUCAUGAUAAUCCUCGAACCUAGUCUGCAUCUCAAAAUAGCAAUAUAUUCCCUAGUGCACUACUUUUGACCACUGCCUUGUGCUGACCCUGGUCAUAUGCAGUGUGCUAUAUAAGGGAAUAGGUUGUUAUUUCAGACACAGACCCUACAGUGUUUAAUGCAAACUAUUCCUAUAGCAACUAGCAUGAAUGUAAACGUUUUUUUUUUCUUCCCAUGGUGAUAGUUAAAAUUAAAAUAAAGUAAUUGAACUAGGUCACUUUUAGAUGAUUUUGAGAAAAAAAUAAACAAUUACUCUCUUUGUAA